rnacentral:rRNA from 1 species
AGAGUUUGAUCCUGGCUCAGAUUGAACGCUGGCGGCAGGCCUAACACAUGCAAGUCGAGCGGCAGCGGGAAAGUAGCUUGCUACUUUUGCCGGCGAGCGGCGGACGGGUGAGUAAUGUAUGGGGAUCUGCCCGAUAGAGGGGGAUAACUACUGGAAACGGUAGCUAAUACCGCAUAAUCUCUAAGGAGCAAAGCAGGGGAACUUCGGUCCUUGCGCUAUCGGAUGAACCCAUAUGGGAUUAGCUAGUUGGUGAGGUAAUGGCUCACCAAGGCGACGAUCCCUAGCUGGUCUGAGAGGAUGAUCAGCCACACUGGGACUGAGACACGGCCCAGACUCCUACGGGAGGCAGCAGUGGGGAAUAUUGCACAAUGGGCGCAAGCCUGAUGCAGCCAUGCCGCGUGUAUGAAGAAGGCCUUCGGGUUGUAAAGUACUUUUAGCGGGGAGGAAGGGAGUAAGGUUAAUAACCUUAUUCAUUGACGUUACCCGCAGAAGAAGCGCCGGCUAACUCCGUGCCAGCAGCCGCGGUAAUAC